rnacentral:rRNA from 1 species
GGAGUUAGCCGGUGCUUCUUCUGUGAGUGAUGUCCUUCCUGCCGGCUAUUAACCCGCAGGCCUUCUUCCUCACUGAAAGUGCUUUACAACCCGAAGGCCUUCUUCACACACGCGGCAUGGCUGGAUCAGGGUUGCCCCCAUUGUCCAAUAUUCCCCACUGCUGCCUCCCGUAGGAGUCUGGGCCGUGUCUCAGUCCCAGUGUGGCUGAUCAUCCUCUCAGACCAGCUACGGAUCGUCGCCUUGGUGAGCCGUUACCUCACCAACCAGCUAAUCCGACAUAGGCUCAUCCGAUAGCGCGAGGCCCGAAGGUCCCCCGCUUUCCCCCGUAGGGCGUAUGCGGUAUUAGCCUGGGUUUCCCCAGGUUAUCCCCCACUACAGGGCAGAUUCCUAUGCAUUACUCACCCGUCCGCCGCUCGCCACCAGGGAGCAAGCUCCCCGUGCUGCCGCUCGACUUGCAUGUGUUAGGCCUGCCGCCAGCGUUCAAUCUGAGCCAGAAUCAAACUCUGA